rnacentral:rRNA from 1 species
UACGUAGGGUGCAAGCGUUGUCCGGAUUUAUUGGGCGUAAAGGGUUAGGGAGGCGGAAUUUCAAGUUAUCGGUUAAAUCUUUGGGCUUAACCCAAAAUCGGCCGGUAAUACUAAUAUUCUAGAGUAAUUCAGGGGCAGGCGGAACGCUACAAGGAGGGGUAAAAUCCGUUGAUAUGUAGCGGAACACCAAAGGCGUAGGCAGCCUGCUGGGAAUUAACUGACGCUCAACUACGAAAGCCAGGGGAGCGAAACGG